rnacentral:rRNA from 1 species
UCUUCGGAGUGAAGAAUCUCUGGAUUAGUGGCGGACGGGUGAGUAACGCGUGAGCAAUCUGCCUUACACAGAGGGAUAGCCUCGGGAAACCGGGAUUAAUACCAUAUGAUAUCUAUUAACCGCAUGGUUUAUAGAUUAAAGAAUUUCGGUGUAAGAUGAGCUCGCGUCCCAUUAAUUAGUUGGUGAGGGUAACGGCCCACCAAGAUAGCGAUGGGUAGCCGAUCUAAGAGGAUGACCGGCCACAUUGGAACUGAGAAACGGUCCAAACUCCUACGGGAGGCAGCAGUGGGGAAUAUUGCACAAUGGGGGAAACCCUGAUGCAGCGACGCCGCGUGAGCGAUGAAGGCUUUCGAGUCGUAAAGCUCUGUCCUAUGGGAAGAUAAUGACGUACCAUAGAAGAAGCCCCG